GCAAGACAGCAUGGAGGUUACAGCGCUGUGCUUCAGACUGCUGGUGCUUGAAUUUAUUCUGCUGGAGAUCCAAAACUGUAAUGCUCAGCAGAGUGAUGCAGCUUUACUUCAUGUCACUCCAAAUAGACAGCAGCACUUUGAAUAUGAGUCUGUCUCUUUUCAUUGUAAAGGAUUUGAUAGUUUGAGAGGGCUCAGUAAUAAUAACAUAUUUACACCAGAAUGUAAUUUUAAGAAGACUGCA